GAGCGGUGAUGAGGUCUGUGUCAAUUCAGAUAGAUGGGUCUAUCUUUGCUUCUGAUUCUUAUUCAGAGGAAAAUAUGGCACUUCAGAGCUC
rfam:Cajanus cajan CcLG02_682, whole genome shotgun sequence.